rnacentral:rRNA from 1 species
CCUACGGGAGGCAGCAGUGAGGAAUAUUGGUCAAUGGCCGGAAGCCUGAACCAGCCAAGCCGCGUGAAGGACGAAGGUGCCAAGCAUUGUAAACUUCUUUUGUCAAGGGACAAAAUCAGGCUCGAGAGCCUGACCGAGUGUACUUUAAGAAAAAGCAUCGGCUAACUCCGUGCCAGCAGCCGCGGUAAUACGGAGGAUGCGAGCGUUAUCCGGAUUUAUUGGGUUUAAAGGGUGCGUAGGCGGGCUGUUAAGUCAGCGGUAAAAGCCCGGGGCUAAACCCCGACGAGCCGUUGAAACUGGCUGUCUUGAGAUGUCGAGAGGUAUGCGGAAUGCGCAGUGUAGCGGUGAAAUGCUUAGAUAUUGCGCAGAACUCCGAUUGCGAAGGCAGCAUACCGGCGGCGAUCUGACGCUGAGGCACGAAAGCGUGGGUAUCGAACAGGAUUAGAUACCCCUGUAGUC